GUGGGGAAUUUUGGACAAUGGGGGCAACCCUGAUCCAGCCAUCCCGCGUGUGCGAUGAAGGCCUUCGGGUUGUAAAGCACUUUUGGCAGGAAAGAAAUCGCACGGGAUAAUACCUCGUGUGGAUGACGGUACCUGCAGAAUAAGCACCGGCUAACUACGUGCCAGCAGCCGCGGUAAUACGUAGGGUGCAAGCGUUAAUCGGAAUUACUGGGCGUAAAGCGUGCGCAGGCGGUUCGGAAAGAAAGAUGUGAAAUCCCAGGGCUUAACCUUGGAACUGCCAUUUUAACUACCGGGCUAGAGUGUGUCAGAGGGGGGUGGAAUUCCGCGUGUAGCAGUGAAAUGCGUAGAUAUGCGGAGGAACACCGAUGGCGAAGGCAGCCCCCUGGGAUAACACUGACGCUCAUGCACGAAAGCGUGGGGAGCAAACAGGAUUAGAUACCCCAGUAGUCC
rnacentral:rRNA from 1 species